AGCACCUACGGGUGUGAAGUCAUUGAUGCCAUGCUUCCAGGAAAAGCCUCUAAGCUUCAGAUUGUAAGGAAUCGUACCCCAAACCGACACAGGUGGUCGGGUAGAGAAUACCAAGGCGCUUGAGAGAACUCGGGUGAAGGAACUAGGCAAAAUGGUACCGUAACUUCGGGAGAAGGUACGCUCUCGACGGUGAAGUCCCUCGCGGAUGGAGCUAUUGAGAGUCGCAGAUACCAGGUGGCUGCAACUGUUUAUUAAAAACACAGCACUGUGCAAAAUCGUAAGAUGACGUAUACGGUGUGACGCCUGCCCGGUGCCGGAAGGUUAAUUGAUGGGGUUAGACUUCGGUCGAAGCUCUUGAUCGAAGCCCCGGUAAACGGCGGCCGUAACUAUAACGGUCCUAAGGUAGCGAAAUUCCUUGUCGGGUAAGUUCCGACCUGCACGAAUGGCGUAAUGAUGGCCACGCUGUCUCCACCCGAGACUCAGUGAAAUUGAAAUCGCUGUGAAGAUGCAGUGUACCCGCGGCUAGACGGAAAGACCCCGUGAACCUUUACUACAGCUUGGCACUGAACAUUGACCCUACAUGUGUAGGAUAGGUGGGAGGCUUUGAAGCACGUACGCCAGUAUGUGUGGAGCCGUCCUUGAAAUACCACCCUUGUAGUGUUGAUGUUCUAACGUCGACCCCUAAUCGGGGUUGCGGACAGUGCCUGGUGGGUAGUUUGACUGGGGCGGUCUCCUCCCAAAGAGUAACGGAGGAGCACGAAGGUGGGCUAAUCACGGUUGGACAUCGUGAGGUUAGUGCAAUGGCAUAAGCCCGCUUGACUGCGAGAAUGACAAUUCGAGCAGGUGCGAAAGCAGGUCAUAGUGAUCCGGUGGUUCUGAAUGGAAGGGCCAUCGCUCAACGGAUAAAAGGUACUCCGGGGAUAACAGGCUGAUACCGCCCAAGAGUUCAUAUCGACGGCGGUGUUUGGCACCUCGAUGUCGGCUCAUCACAUCCUGGGGCUGAAGUCGGUCCCAAGGGUAUGGCUGUUCGCCAUUUAAAGUGGUACGCGAGCUGGGUUUAGAACGUCGUGAGACAGUUCGGUCCCUAUCUGCCGUGGGCGUUGGAAGAUUGAAGGGGGCUGCUCCUAGUACGAGAGGACCGGAGUGGACGAACCUCUGGUGUUCGGGUUGUGUCGCCAGACGCAUUGCCCGGUAGCUAAGUUCGGAAUCGAUAACCGCUGAAAGCAUCUAAGCGGGAAGCGAGCCCUGAGAUGAGUCUUCCCUGAUACUUUAAGUAUCCUAAAGGGUUGUCGGAGACUACGACGUUGAUAGGUCAGGUGUGUAAGUGCUGUGAGGCAUUGAGCUAACUGAUACUAAUUGCCCGUGAGGCUUAACCAUACAACAC
rnacentral:rRNA from 1 species